CAGAGNUCUCAAGCGUUGUUCGGAUUUCAUUGGGCGUAAAGGGUGCGUAGGUGGCGGGGGUAAGUCAGGUGUGAAAUUUCGGAGCUUAACUCCGAAACUGCAUUUGAUACUGCCUUGCUUGAGGACUGGAGAGGAGACUGGAAUUCACGGUGUAGCAGUGAAAUGCGUAGAGAUCGUGAGGAAGACCAGUGGCGAAGGCGGGUCUCUGGACAGUUCCUGACACUGAGGCACGAAGGCCAGGGGAGCAAACGGGAUUAGAUACCCCGGUAGUCCUGGCAGUAAACGGUGCACGUUUGGUGUGGGGGGAUUCGACCCCUUCCGCGCCGGAGCUAACGCGUUAAACGUGCCGCCUGGGGAGUACGGUCGCAAGAUUAAAACUCAAAGAAAUUGACGGGGGCCCGCACAAGCGGUGGAGUAUGUGGCUUAAUUCGAUGCAACGCGAAGAACCUUACCAGGCCUUGACAUGCAUUUCUAAGUUGGUGAAAGCCAGCGAAUGUCGAAAGACAUAACUUGCACAGGCGCUGCAUGGCUGUCGUCAGCUCGUGUCGUGAGAUGUUGGGUUAAGUCCCGCAACGAGCGCGACCCCUGUGAACUGUUGCCACCCUCUUUAUUGAGGAGCACUCUGUUCAGACUGCCCUGUGAAACGGGGAGGAAGGUGGGGACGACGUCAAGUCAGUAUGGCCCUUACGGCCUGGGCUGCACACGUACUACAAUGCUCAGCACAGAACGAUCCGAGACCGCGAGGUGGAGGAAAUCUAGUAAAACUGAGCUCAGUUCGGAUUGGAGGCUGCAACUCGCCUCCAUGAAGCUGGAAUCGCUAGUAAUGCCGUAUCAGCUACGACGGCGUGAAUACGUUCCCGGGCCUUGUACACACCGCCCGUCACAUCAUGGAAGUCACUUGUAGCCGAAGCCGGCGCGCCAACCCGCAAGGGAAGCAGCCGUCUACGCUAUGAGCGGUAACUGGGAUGAAGUCGUAACAAGGUAGCCGUAGGGGAACCUGCGGCUGGAUC
rnacentral:rRNA from 1 species